rnacentral:rRNA from 1 species
AACGAACGCUGGCGGCGUGCUUAACACAUGCAAGUCGCGUGCGCAGUUCGCGUAGCAAUACGUGGAUGGGCGCACGGCGCACGGGUGCGUAACACGUGGGCAAUCUGCCCUCCGAUGGGGAAUAACCCCGCGAAAGCGGGGCUAAUACCGCAUAACAUUCCGAGGACUUCGGUUCUUGGAUUCAAAGCAGUGAUGCGUCGGAGGAGGAGCCCGCGCCCGAUUAGCUAGUUGGUAGGGUAACGGCCUACCAAGGCAAUGAUCGGUAGCUGGUCUGAGAGGAUGAUCAGCCACACUGGAACUGAGACACGGUCCAGACUCCUACGGGAGGCAGCAGUGGGGAAUCUUGCGCAAUGGGCGAAAGCCUGACGCAGCGACGCCGCGUGGGGGAUGAAGCUUUUCGGAGUGUAAACCCCUUUCGACUGGGAAGAAUGCCCGCAAGGGAGCGACGGUACCAGUAGAAGAAGCCCCGGCUAACUACGUGCCAGCAGCCGCGGUAAGACGUAGGGGGCCAGCGUUGUUCGGAAUUACUGGGUGUAAAGGGUUCGUAGGCGGUGCGGCAAGUUGGGAGUGAAAUCUCUGGGCUUAACCCAGAGGCUGCUUCCAAAACUGCUGUGCUUGAGUGUGAGAGAGGCUCGUGGAAUUGCAGGUGUAGCGGUGAAAUGCGUAGAUAUCUGCAGGAACACCCGUGGCGAAAGCGGCGAGCUGGAUCACAACUGACGCUGAGGAACGAAAGCUAGGGGAGCAAACA